ACCGAGUUUUCACAGCAAUAAAAAGGAAAGUGUUUAUUUGCAGGGCACCAAGCAAGGAGGAUCUGGAAGCUACUGCUCAGCUCCUGACCUCCCACAUGGCUUGAGGGUGAAGGUGUUUAAAGGCCUACCUAGGUGCCUGGAAUUUCCCUUCGAGGAACGCAGGAGUUUUCUUUAUUUUCAUGCUUGGGAAGGCUCAUUAGGCCCCUAAGAGAGGGUCCCUUCCCCAUCUCAGGACUAAAAUGCAAUGAAGAUGUUGCUCAGAGGCAGCUGGAGAGGGAUGGGUCUGUGGAGGAUGCCCCGCAGAGUGAAGUCGAGAUGAUGCAGCCACCAGGGCCGGAGGGGAGGGACAUUCCACUUUUUAAAUCAGCUUUCUGAAGCAUGAUCUCCAUAUAAUCACCUAGAAGCGUACAGCACAAUGAUCUUGACAGAUGCCAGCAUCCUUGGAACCACUGCCACCACCAACGUCUCAAACCAUUCCAUCAAACCCAGAACACUCCUGGUGCCCUGAAGCGUCUCCCUUCAGUGGCAGAACCAGCAGAGAUUCAGUGGUCACAAGGCUGGUCUGGAACUCCUGGGUGCAAGCGAUCCUUCCACCUCGGCCUCCCAAAGUGCUGGGAUUAGAGGCAUAAGCCACCGCGCCCAGCCAGGAAUGGAUUUUCUCACAGUUCUCGAUGGCGGAAGUCUGAGAUCAAGGUCUUGGCAGGGCUAGGUCUCUCUGAGGCCUUUCUCCCCAGCUUAUAGGUCGCCGCCUCCUCUCUCUGUCUUUCCUUGUCUUCCUUGUGUCCACAGUUGUGUCCAAAUUCCCCUUUCUCAUAAGGACGUCAGUCAUGUUGGAUUAGGGCCCUCCCUCCUGACCUUGUUUUAGCUUAAUCUCUGCAACUUAACCCUUAACCUCAGUAAAGAUCCUAUUUCCAAA
ensembl:lncRNA LINC01532 long intergenic non-protein coding RNA 1532